UUGGAAGCUUCUGUAAAAUAACUAGAAUGGUUAAGUCGAAAAAUGCAAAAAAAUGGCUUCUUCUUGUUGUUCAAGGAAAUUGCUUCUACUUCGAUUACCGAUUUACAGAGCUCUCAAACCUAAUUCCUCCUUAACGAUUAAAACAUCAUUUCUUUCUACUUUUACUCAUAAAUAUCUUCGAGAACCUUCCAGUUCUCUAUCCAAAUCUUACCUCUCAGAAGUUUCUAGAAGCUUUUGUUCGCGAUCUUCACCUCUUCAUGAUGCUUCUGAAGGUCCUGCUGCCAUCGAUUACCGAUCUCUGCUGCAGGAAGAUGAGUAUCACAGACUGGCUAAUGCCACUAUCCAUGACUUGCUAGAUAAGUUGGAGGAAUAUGGGGACUCAGUUGACAUUGAUGGUUUCGAUGUGGAUUAUGGGAAUGAGGUUUUAACACUGAAGUUUGGGAGCUUGGGAACCUAUGUGAUAAACAAACAAACACCAAAUAGGCAGAUUUGGAUGUCUUCACCAGUGAGCGGUCCAUCAAGGUUCGACUGGGACCAAAACUCUCAAGGUUGGAUCUAUAGGCGAACCAAGGCAAACCUGCAAAAGGUUUUGGAAGACGAAAUAGAAAAACUAUGCGGAAGUGCCAUUAAUCUUUCUUAAGACAUUGCGGAUUUUUUUGUGUUUAGUGUACUAUCUCUAAGUAUGAUUUACAUGUCUUAAAUAAUAACACUAUUAGCUGGAGAUGAGGACAGGUUGGCAGAUGAAUUUGUGUGAUAUAGAGAGAACAAAACAUGAGCCUAAAACCAAGAGGUGCCACCUAUAUUUCUAAGUAGCUAUGUUUGAAAAACAUUGUUGAGUAAUCAGUUGAAAGUAUCUAAGAAAAAAGUGAUUAUGGUUCUUAUAAUUUUGUCAUAUGGUGUACAAAUCUCUUCUUUUAGAUGGAGGUGUGUGGAAUCAAGGAACAGCAUAAAUUUUCAUUUAUUUAUUCAAUUCUAUAAUUAACUUAAUUUUGUUCUA